rnacentral:rRNA from 1 species
GACGAACGCUGGCGGCGUGCUUAACACAUGCAAGUCGAGCGGAGCGGCGAACGGGUGAGUAACGCGUGAGUAACUGCCCCCCUCUCUGGGAUAACCGUUGGAAACGGCUUCUAAUACCGGUUAGUGGGGGAUGACGCGUGUGCUAUCCGCUUGUUGGUUGGGUAGUGGCCUACGAAGGCGACGACGGGUAGCCGGCCGGAGAGGGCGACCGGCCACAUUGGGCUGAGAUACGGCCCCAACACCUACGGGAGGCAGCAGUGGGGAAUAUUGCACAAUGGGGGAAACCCUGAUGCAGCAACGCGCGUGCGGGAUGACGGCCUUCGGGUUGUAAACCGCUUUCAGCCAUGACGCGGUAGUGGCAGAAGAAGCACCGGCUAACUACGUGCCAGCCGCCGCGGUAAUUC